rnacentral:rRNA from 1 species
UACAGAGGUGCCAAGCGUUAGGCGGAAUCACUGGGCUUAAAGCGCGUGUAGGUGGACGGGUAAGUAUCUUGUGAAAUCCCACGGCUCAACCGUGGAACUGCUGGAUAUACUGCUUGUCUUGAGGCACUUAGGGGCAGCUGGAACAAAUGGUGGAGCGGUGAAAUGCGUAGAUAUCAUUUGGAACGCUAAAGGCGAAAGCAGGCUGCUGGGAGUGAUCUGACACUGAGACGCGAAAGCCAGGGGAGCAAACGGG